rnacentral:rRNA from 1 species
GUACAAGUGAAAAACUAGAAACUCAAAGGACUUGGCGGUACCCCACACCAACCUAGAGGAGCCUGUCCCGUAAUCGAUACUCCACGCUAAACCUAACCGGCUCUUGAUAAUCAGCCUAUAUACCGCCGUCGCCAGCCUGCCUAAUGAUAGACACACAGCAGGCACAAUAGCCCACACUAAUACGUCAGGUCAAGGUGUAGCUAAUGAGCCGGGCAAAGAUGGGCUACAUUUUCUUAAUCUAAAAGAAAAUCACCACACACCCACUGAAACCUGGGCCCCAAGGCGGAUUUAGCAGUAAACCAGGUAAGCUAAACCUGAUUGAAGCAUGCUCUGGGGCAUGCACACACCGCCCGUCACCCUCA